UCUCUCCCCACAGUGGAAGGUGGGUGAUGCCUGCUGCGCUGUCUGGUCCAGAGACAGGCUGCUCUACCCGGCUCGCAUCGUCUCCCUGAGCAAGGAGGGGGACACCUGUGUGGUGGAGUAUGAGCACUACGGCAAUCGGGAGGAACAGAGGCUGCGGGACCUGUUCCCCCCCGACAGGAGCCCAGACGACUUGCUGGAGCCCCAGAGAAUGUGGAAGGCGGGCGACGCCUGCAGCGCCAUCUGGUCGGAGGACGGGCUGCUCUACCCAGCCAUUGUGCGAUUGGUGGAUGCCGUGGCGGGGACGUGCCUGGUGGAGUUUGUCGGCUACGGGAACAAGGAACAGCAGGCGCUGGAGGAGCUGCUACCUCCGUGUGGGGCCGUGGAUGGGGACCUGAGGAGCUGGAGGGCUGAAGUGGAUGCCCCUGGAGUGCCCAGGGGACGCAGCCCCAGCUUCCCCCAGGAGCCACCCCGCAGCUGGAGGAGGCAGAACACGAAAGGGGAGUGGACACAUUACUUCCCCCCGCCGCCCAAGAGCGGCUCAUGGUGGCCCGGUCCCUUGCUGCCCUUCGGCCCCCCGCCCCGCAGGUCCGGCUGCCCCCCGGUGAGUGUACCCGCUCCUCCUCGAGCACCCAUUUCUAUGGCAAACAGAGCCACCGCGAAUCCUGCCCUGCGGGAAAGGGCCCUGGCUGUUGAUCUUCCGGGCUGGGGGAGGGGGCAAACCAG
rnacentral:lncRNA from 1 species